GACAUUUGCUUGGAGAAGGCGAGAGAUUGCCAAUGGGAUGACUGUCAAAGAAGCCAUUAACAAAUAUCCAUUCCUUAAGAGUCCAUGCGGGCUAUUUUAGGAAAUGGGCCGGCUUCAUGAUGGAAAUGAAUAUCUGCCGAAGAUUCGAAGAUGGCUUUAAGGUCCUAGUACCCAAAGUGCUUAGCUUGACUCAAAGGAAAUCUCCCCUUGCAGAUCUGGCUUUGGAGGAAAGAGAGGCUGCCCUCACCGUAGAUGUCCCUGGGAUUGAUUUCAGAGCUGCAAUCCUGCUGUUGCCGAUCCUGUUCAGGGAGAAAAAUGACAUUCUCAUCAUACUUGGGGAGGUGUGUAAUUUGCAUAUAGUUUUUUUUUUUUUUACAUCCCACAGAGACUGGGAGAAUUAUAUGCAUCCCUUGGAUGUCUUAUUUCAUAAUACAAAGUUUCUAGCUAUCAAUGCUGGGCCUUGGUGUGGACAUGGGGGGCCGCAUAGUGCAAACCUCACUGCAGCAGUGAGAGAGAGCUGUGCACUACAACAAAAAUAUGGUGUUUUUUGAAAAUUCAACCAUGUAAACCUAUUCUGGUACAACCUUAAAAUACAGUUAUGAAUCUGAAAAGGAGCAUAAUAUGGGGGCUUUAAGGUCUUUACUUACCGUAGAUGUUUUUUUAGUGUAUGUGUGUAAUGUGUGUAUAUAUAUAUAUAUAUAUAUAGUGGCAGUAAGUUGUCAGUUGGUCAGUGAAAUGCUUCUUAAAAAAUGUAAUUAAUUAUUUUUAAUGUUUUUUUUAUAUCAGACAUGACAUCCUAAACAUUGUGGCAUUUUAUUUUGGGAUGUUACAUUGUAUGGUUGUGAGAUGAAUUAUUAUUGAAUCGGUGAAUUAAACUGUUUUCCAUUUAAGGACUAAAAUAAAUGUCUAAAAUUCAGUUAGUUGUUGUUUGCC
ensembl:lncRNA